GAAGAUAUAACAUAAAAUGUAAUGUAUUUCGUUUACAGCGAAAUAAUACUUAAUUAUAAGUUAUUUUCA
rnacentral:tRNA from 1 species